rfam:Lactobacillus ingluviei strain DSM 14792 Scaffold16, whole genome shotgun sequence.
CACCUGUUCCCAUGCCGAACACAGAAGUUAAGCUUCAACGCGCCGAAAGUAGUUGGGAGAUCGCUCCCUGCGAGGAUAGGGCGUCGCCACGC